GGAAUAUUGGGCAAUGGGCGCAAGCCUGACCCAGCCAUGCCGCGUGAACGAAGAAGGCUCUCGGGUCGUAAAGUUCUUUUAUACGGGAAGACCCGUCCGGAUGCGUCCGGGCCUGACGGUACCGUAUGAAUAAGCCCCGGCUAACUCCGUGCCCGCCGCCGCGGUAAUACGGAGGGUGCAAGCGUUGUCCGGAUUUAUUGGGUUUAAAGGGUACGUAGGCGGUUUGUUAAGUCAGUGGUGAAAUGCGGGGGCUCAACCCCCGGACUGCCAUUGAUACUGGCAGGCUUGAGUGUUGUAGAGGUGGGCGGAAUUUGUGAUGUAGCGGUGAAAUGCAUAGAUAUCACAAGGAACACCAAAAGCGAAGGCAGCUCACUGGACAACAACUGACGCUGAGGUACGAAAGCGUGGGGAGCGAAC
rnacentral:rRNA from 1 species